GUCUUGUCAGUGAUGUUCUCAAUAUAAAUGUCUGAACUUAUGAUUUCCAAUGAUUCAUAUAUUAUGACUGAGACGAGAC